GUCGACAAACCCGGCCUACCUGAGCGUCUACCUGCUCACCACAGCUCAGCUCACUCCCCCUUCAGCUCAGCUCAGCUCAGAUACUAAUUGUGUGGGGAGGUAAACAUGGCAGUCAAGUGGAGAGGACGGCAAGUCAAGCGUGAAUAUCAAUCUCCCCACAUCAGUGUCAUCAGAUGACUUUGACUGAGUUGAGGCGGGCUCAUUAGAGCGAUGGAGCCACAAUAACAUCCAGGUGUGGGGCCCUGAAGUUACGGAAGCCUGCAGAGCUCACUGGUUAACAGGAACGUGGUGGAGGAAACUGAAAAGAGGUGGCAAGUGUCAGAAGCAGAUGAGGUCAGCAUUCUCAGCGCAGUCAUUGACCCUUCGCUUCAAGCAGUUAAGCUGUCUGUCUGACAAGUAAAAGGAACAGCUCUCCAGACUCUACCUGCCUGCUCCUGCUGCUGCCACACAUCACUUCAGGAAACUGAUGAACUGUACCAACCUCAGAUUAACCUCCAACCCUGUCUUUCUUUUUCUGCAGUCCCAGGCCAUCACUGGAGGUUUCAGAAGAUCAAGCGUAAAGAGGAAGAAAGAUAUCAGAUAACAAGGCUGCGUGGAGGCACGGCACGUGGUAUCGGCUGCUCCGUGCUGCAACCACCGGGAAUGAAGUGACAGGCCGUGGUGGAGCACAGGAACAAAAUCAAGAGCUAGAUAUGAUAUACGAGAGAGGAGAGGGAGAGAUGCUGCACUGCUGCCAGAGGAGCCCCUGAAUGAGUUCAGUCUUAGCGUGUCUUCCUCAGAGUGUGCUGGCUUUGGCUGGAGUCCCCUGUGAGCUGUGAAAAGGAUGAUCCGUUUAAUCCUCCAAAGGUCUUUUCUGCUGUUUGAUUUAGACACAGACACAGCACCAUCACCAUCACCACCAUUAUCAAUUUGUCUCACGAAGGUGUCUUGAUAAUGUGCCUGCUUGGCUUUUUACAAACUGAAUGAGCUGUUCUGUGGAUAUUAAAUAUAGAAGUGUGGAAGUAAAGCAGGGUCUGAUUCUGUGUGAGCCCUCACUGAAGAAAAACACAAAGAUGUCUUGUGUUUUUCCUGUGAUUUUUUUAAUGAUCAGAUUUGU